CCUACGGGGCGCUGCAGUGGGGAAUAUUGCACAAUGGGGGAAACCCUGAUGCAGCGACGCCGCGUGAGUGAAGAAGUAUUUCGGUACGUAAAGCUCUAUCAGCAGGGAAGAAAAUGACGGUACCUGACUAAGAAGCCCCGGCUAACUACGUGCCAGCAGCCGCGGUAAUACGUAGGGGGCAGGCGUUAUCCGGAUUUACUGGGUGUAAAGGGAGCGUAGACGGCAGCGCAAGUCUGGAGUGAAAUCCCAUGGCUUAACCAGGGAACUGCUUUGGAAACUGUGCAGCUAGAGUGCAGGAGAGGUAAGCGGAAUUCCUAGUGUAGCGGUGAAAUGCGUAGAUAUUAGGAGGAACACCAGUGGCGAAGGCGGCUUACUGGACUGUAACUGACGUUGAGGCUCGAAAGCGUGGGGAGCAAACAGGAUUAGAUACCCCUGUAGUC
rnacentral:rRNA from 1 species